rnacentral:rRNA from 1 species
AGUGAACGCUGGCGGUAGGCCUAACACAUGCAAGUCGAACGGCAGCACAGGAGAGCUUGCUCUCUGGGUGGCGAGUGGCGGACGGGUGAGGAAUACAUCGGAAUCUACUCUGUCGUGGGGGAUAACGUAGGGAAACUUACGCUAAUACCGCAUACGACCUACGGGUGAAAGCGGGGGACCUUCGGGCCUUGCGCGAUUGAAUGAGCGGAUGUCGGAUUAGCUAGUUGGCGGGGUAAAGGCCCACCAAGGCGACGAUCCGUAGCUGGUCUGAGAGGAUGAUCAGCCACACUGGAACUGAGACACGGUCCAGACUCCUACGGGAGGCAGCAGUGGGGAAUAUUGGACAAUGGGCGCAAGCCUGAUCCAGCCAUACCGCGUGGGUGAAGAAGGCCUUCGGGUUGUAAAGCCCUUUUGUUGGGAAAGAAAUCCAGCUGGCUAAUACCCGGUUGGGAUGACGGUACCCAAAGAAUAAGCACCGGCUAACUUCGUGCCAGCCGCCGCUGUAA